AGAAAAAUAGAAAAAAGAAAAAAGAAAAAAAGAAAAAGAAAAAACAGUAGAUGAAAAAAGAAAAAACAAAAGGAAAAACGAAUAAUGACAAGAGAAGAAAGGUAAAGAGAAAAGAAGAAAAAAGCCAAGUCAAAAAGUAAAGAAUAACUCGAAGGAAGGAGUGGAUGGCAAGAAAUACAGAGAAAGCAGUGCAUAGCACAGCAGAGCAAAGCAAGGCAAAAUAGCAGCCAAAGCCACGAGAAUCAAGAAGUCAGUGAAGAGCAGGAAAGGUAAGUUUCCCUUAAAGCAAGGGGGAAUGGUAGUGGAAGGGAGAAAAGAGAG
ensembl:lncRNA